AGUGAACGCUGGCGGUAGGCCUAACACAUGCAAGUCGAACGGCAACACAGUAAGAGCUUGCUCUUACGGGUGGCGAGUGGCGGACGGGUGAGGAAUACAUCGGACUCUACUUUUUCGUGGGGGAUAACGUAGGGAAACUUACGCUAAUACCGCAUACUACCUACGGGUGAAAGCAGGGGAUCUUCGGACCUUGCGCGAUUGAAUGAGCCGAUGUCGGAUUAGCUAGUUGGCGGGGUAAAGGCCCACCAAGGCGACGAUCCGUAGCUGGUCUGAGAGGAUGAUCAGCCACACUGGAACUGAGACACGGUCCAGACUCCUACGGGAGGCAGCAGUGGGGAAUAUUGGACAAUGGGCGCAAGCCUGAUCCAGCCAUACCGCGUGGGUGAAGAAGGCCUUCGGGUUGUAAAGCCCUUUUGUUGGGAAAGAAAAGCAGCAGGUUAAUACCCCGCUGUUCUGACGGUACCCAAAGAAUAAGCACCGGCUAACUUCGUG
rnacentral:rRNA from 1 species